rnacentral:lncRNA from 1 species
GUCGAACUGCCGAGGAGACCCCUGAAGUCACAUCUGGAGAUGAGGAUACCGUAACCGCAGAUCGUUGCAGACAUGGUUGCUGCCGCUGGUACCAUGGACAUUGCCAAAAAUGCUGUCCACCUGAAGAUCGUUGCAGACAUGGUUGCUGCCACUGGUACCAUGGACAUUGCCAAAGAUGCUGUCCACCUGCUGAGGAGACCCCUGAACAUCGUUGCAGACAUGGUUGCUGCCGCUGGUACCAUGGACAUUGCCAAAGAUGCUGUCCGCCUGCUGAGGAGACUUGCAGACAUGGUUGCUGCCACUGGUACCAUGGACAUUGCCAAAGAUGCUGUCGAACUGCUGAGCAGACCCCUGAAGCUACAUCCGGAGAUGAGGUCAAAAAUUAACGCUAAAUAAAUAAGGGCGUGACACAGGAUCCGUGACACCUAUAUUAUUACCUUAAUAUGUUAUGUUGUGUUUGCUUUUAAUGGUUGAUUUCCUAUAUGUGUAAAAGACUUGUGCGGCUUCUCUUUGAAUUGGUGUAGAAUCAACGGGGGAAGCAUGUAAUGAGUAUUCAGUUCGAGUGCUCUUCUUAUGUUGUUGUCAUGUUGAAUAAAUAAAUCUACUUGAUCAUCUACUACAAUUGAUGAUCUUCUUAUGUUUUUUUUUCACUUUAUCUUCCUUCAAGAUUUUUGGUGGAAAUGCUUCAUUUAUACGAAUUUUCCUAGUUAGUAAAUGCUUCUAUUACACUUGUACAAUACACAUUUAAAAGUAUAACACAACAAAAGCUUGUGUAGUUCAUAUAUUUAAAAAAUAUUCAUACUUUUCAACUAAACUAUAAAAAUAUGUAAUAAAUUCUUUAUACAUUAUACUUUACGAACUAUACUUUAAAUUUUAAAAAUAUUUAAUAGUAUCACUUAUCAAUAACUCCACAUGUUAAUUUGUCUUCCAAUUCAGUAAAUUAUAGUAGCUAAUUCUCAAAGCUAACCGACACCAAAAUUCCCUCACUUGUUCAGCUCCUAGUGGAUUUAUAUUAAUUACAUUGCAUUUAUUUCCUAAGCAUGAGUUUUGUAACCCCUCAUAUUAAAUCUCAAUGAUUGAUUUUAACGGUUACCCAGGCGUCUAGUAAUUGGUUUGCUAUUAAUUUGAACUAGACAUUUAUUAGGUCUAGUAGAAUUUAUUCCUUCUUAUCACUUAGUUCAUAAACCUUACGAAUCGUUAAAACCAGCUCUAACAUCAGCUAACAAGACUUCUACAAUUUCGGGUUUUGCUUAGAAAUCAGUCUGAUAGGUUAACUUGCUUCGUCCAACUUUAUGAGUUGCUUCUUUUUUCUUUUUUUUUCCAUAUUUGACAUUUCAUCUUACUUUAAUAUGGGGACCAAGUUAGUAUUGUUGACAUUUCAUAUCUAAGACUUCUUAAUUAAUUGAUUUGUUAUAAGAACUAUAACGUAUGCGUGUUUUGUAAGCUUUCAUGUUUUUUUAUUUUUUCAAUUCUUGUGGACCAGCAACGGAUAGUUUCUUCUAGUACCAAUCUUCCUUUGAAGUUCUUUAAUUUUUUUUUUGUGUCCAAAUGUAAAUUAAAAGAACCAACAACUUUGAACAAGUCUAUAUCUAGUAAAGAUAGAUAUAAAGAGGGAUACUAUAUCACUGCAACAAAAAAGGGAUUUGGCGAGGAGCAAAAGUCCACGCCAAAAUUUUUGACUUCGUCGCCAAUUAAUUUCAGCGAGAAAAAUGCUUCCUCGUCAAGUUUCUUGCUAGAUGCUCAUCGCUAAAAGUUAUUAGAGAGGAUGUUGUUGCUUUUCUCGCUAAUGAAACAGAUCAAUAGCAAGGAUUGACCUCCUCGCCAAUCUGAUUCAAAUACUAUGGCGAGAAAAGCUUUCCUCACCACUAAAGUUAAAAACUCCCCACAAAAACCAGUAGUUCCUAGCAAAUAGUCAAGGUGUUCUGCUAGGAAAAAUAGCGCAUCCUUACCAAUAGUAUAGAAUUAGCAAGGAUUCUUUUGACAAAUCUGCAAUGCCUCGUGUACCAGUAAAACAUUUUUGGCCAGGAAAGUUUCCUCUCUAAUAAGCAAUAAUUGAUUAUUGUCUAACUGUUUGGUGGGAAAAUGUUCCUCUCCAAUGCUGUUAUGAACAUUUCUUAAUCCCAUUUAGCAUGCUAAUCUUAAUUCUCUGAGCAAAUUACUGGGUGGUUUUAUUAGAAAAUUUAGCUGCAAAUAGCUUCAAUUUGGCUUCUCAUGUGUCUGUUGUACAUUUUCCAGGUUCUUAUAAGUAUCAAAUUGUUUGGCAAAAUUUUUUUUUAAUGAAUCAUGACCAACGUAGCUGCUCAUUAAAUUUAAACUCAUAAGCCCUAGUAUUUGAUAGCUUUUUGGAAUAUCACUUGGUGCCAACAACCCCCUUUUGCUACUUUGAUAAACAUUCAAUAGAAAACAUACAAAAGCUUUGGUUAGCUAAAAAUAAUUGUUAGCAAAGUAAUACAUCAACAUCCAGCUCUUUCAACAUCUUGAGCCAUACAAAUAGGAAGUGCUUGAAAUCAAUUGGCAAUCCAAAUUUUUUUUAGCUCAUUAACCAUCCAAGAAAUCGCAACUUCAAUAAGUCAUUACAAAAGAAGAUUUCAUCAAGAGAACACCACAAAAAGGAGAAGCAGAAAAAAAAUAUAAGAGAGAGAGAGAGAGAGUUAAACUAGUCAUAUGGACACAUAUUUGUCACCUCAGUAUUUCCAAUUCCUUAAUUCAGUCCAGUUAUCUUGGAACUCUAUCGGCAAUCCAUGGAACAUUUUUUGAAUGACAAUAUGCUGUUGCAACCUUCUGGUGAAGACUUCAAAGGUUCUAUGAUAGGUUGCAUUUUUGUCAUUAAUUCUAUGAUUAUUUUCCUCAUUUAUAUUACCAAAUAUUGUAUUAAUUGAUUGAUUCUACUUAUAUUUGGUAUUUUGUGUCAAUUGUAGGAAGGUGGAGCAAAAAAUAAUAAAAGAGGUGAUUUUUCAAGAGUUUUCCAUUUCAAGAUGGAGUUUACGUGGAGUAUUGGAUGAAAAUUAGGAAACUACCACUUUUUAUUAGAUGUCUUAUUAGGGAACAAUUAGCAAUAGUUGGAGAAGUUUCCUUUUGCAAUUAGAAUUCUAUUUUUAGUUGGCCAAUGGACUGCCGAAAUAAUGGACUUCAAUUAGGAAACAAAGAGAGAAAAAAGGCCGGAAUCCCGCGUGAUUACUACCUUGGAGGGAACAAGAAAAAGGAGACGUCCGCUGGUCUCUUCUUUAGUGAGUCUUUUGGAAAAAACCAAUGGUUAUCGAUGGUGUCCUGCGGAUCUCUCCUGAUGAUGUGUAGCUAAAUCUCCGUUUUCUAGUCGAAUGUCAAUUUGAGGACUCGAUUCCAAACAUAUUUGAUAAGAGAAUAUUUAAUGUACAUUUUGUACAAGUUUGGCAUGAACUUUUGAUGUGUUUUGAGAAGAUUAAAGCCAUAUUUGAACUCUUUUGGUGAUAAAUGCUUAAAUAUUAUGUAAGUGUUCAAAACUUGAUAAAUGAGUGGAUUAAUGCGUUAAUUUUGUGAAAUUGUGAAGGAUAUUGAUAUAUGAAAUUCAUGCACGAGAUGAAGGAAAUGUAAGGAUCGUCUAGAGGAUAAAGUACAAAAGAAACUAGGAGCAAAAAUGAAGAAAAAGGAAAGAAGUGAAAAACUGGAAAUUGAUCAGCACAGAUUUGAGCUCGGAUCCGUGUGAACAAAGGGCGAUCCGAGCCCUCGUCUGCACUUCUGGAGCAGUGCAUCCGAGGCCAGACAAUCUGAGCUCGGAUUAUUAAGAGAAAGACCUCGGAUCAGCCUUGAUCCGAGCUCAGAUCGUAGUGCACACCUCGGAUCCAGGUCUCGGAUCUGCCUCUCUUCUGCAAGUGGCACGGCCGUUUUUUCUCAUUUUCACACAACUUUCCAGCUAUCUUGGGUGAGAGAAUUCGAUGGCACAUGCUUCUGCAACAAAAGGGAAGACAAAAUGAGUUAUUGAUAAGUCAAAACAACAUUUCUUUUGACUUUCUUUACAAAAUCUGAGUUGUUGGAAUCAUGAAGGAGAAGAAAGUGCCUUUCUACCACCUUUUAUGCAGAGAACUAAGGAGAAGUCAGGCAUCACCAUAUGGAGGAGUUUUUCAUCUUGUAACAUUUUUCUCUCUAGCUAGAAGUUCUAAAAACAAGCACUUGGAGAUUUCACUUGUAAUCAUCUUGUACAAGACAUAGCAAAAAUUUGAGGGUUUCACCAUUAAUUGGCUAAGCUUUUCUUUAUCUUUCUUGUACUUGUACUUUAUGAUGUUUUGCAUUAAUAAACUUGUGAGUUUGAUUGUUAUAUUAUUCAUGAGUAGCUAAAUUUCUUUAUCUAGAGAGUAGAUAAAUGAUAUGAAUUGAAUGUGAUUUACACUUGUUAUAUCUUGUAUUAACUUGUCUAUUUGUGCAGUUGUAAUUACUUGUUGUUGUUUGAUCACCAAUAGCAUGUUUAUAGUUGUUAUUAGUCAAUAAGAAUUGGUAGUAACAAUAGAAAAAAUAUGAGUAGAGCUUGAGUUGUAUGUUCAUGAAAAUAGAUGUACACUUAAGUGGAUUAGCUAGCAUUUCAUGAAGGAAAACAGAGUAGAACUGGUAGUUCACCAUGAAAAUAGGGAAAACUGGAUUACUCUAGGCCAUUUUAUCAUGAGAAUGAGAUUUGGCAAUAUUGAAAAUGAAUCCCUGGUUAAACAACAAUAAUAACAAGAGGUAAAUCUAUUCAUUUGUGUUGUUUAUACCAUAAGUGGAAUCUACAUCCCUAGAUUUAUUCUUGAGUGAAAUUUAUCCAUUUGCAUUUAGCAUUUGUUAAACUAGAUUUAUAGACAACAACAUUAUAAUUUCUCUGCUCAAAUUCAUUUAUAAGUCUAAAUAAUAGAGAAAAUAAGGGCCUAGUACUUAUUUAAAUUGCUCCUCGUGGGAUCGACUUGAUACAUACCUUACAUUACGAUUUCGACCUGUAUAGUUGCAGUCAACGGGUAUAAAAUCGAAUUCAAACUUGCAUUGAUAUAAAAAUCCCGUCACAUAUGUGAGAUCGAAUUAUUUUACUUAUUUCUUUUAUUCAUUGGUAUUUGUACAUUUUCUGAUUUAACUUCAUAUACUUGUUAUGUUAUUUGAAUGUCAAGGGCUCGAUAUUCGAAUUAACCUAAUAAUCUACUGUUAGAUUAAUUGAUUGAAUCCCUAAUUGUUCAAUUGAUUAAUACCAGUGGCAACUAGCGUGAUUAGUUUCAUGUUAAGGAAACAUAUGAUCUAACUUAAACGAACCCUCGUAGCGUGUUUGUUAAUUAAGGUUGGCUUUUCUAAUUCUUAUUGCAAUUGAGAAAUUAAAUCCUAUAGUCGUACCUAGGGUUAUUUCUUGGUUAGAAAAAUAGUUAAUGGUCGUACCUUAACUAUCGAAAAAGUAAGAAAAGAUUGGUUGUUUAUCGCGUGUAUAACAACUAUAACCAAUCUAUUAAUUAGUAAUUGAAUUAUCUUUGCAUCGAUGAUCAGUUGAAAGGACCAUGUCUGAAAAGUUGCACCUUUGGCUAGAGUUGUAUUGGUUAUUGAUUAAUUCCUGUUUAUUUCUAUUAGUUGUUUCAUUAGUUGAUUAAUUAGUUAUUUUAUAUUUUUCAAAAACCCCCCAUACUUCGGACUCUGGAAGAAAUGAAUUAUCCCCAAUCCCUGUAGAUUCGACCCUGCUCACCGCUAUAUACAAAUUUGUAUUUUUCUUGAGUAGGUAAUUAUUAUUGCACAUGUUCAACACCUGUCAUUCUAUAACUGUAUACAGAGUCAUCUUUUUCAAAGAUUUCCCAUGCUGCAAAAUGUACUCUACGAGCUUUAUUUCACCCUGUUCCUGAAGAGUUUGCUUGAUCCGAUAUACCCGAAUGGGAUGGUUAUUUCUUUCACAAAUAAUUAUGAAUUUGUAGACAGGGCAAGUAGGGUCGUAUCCACAGGGACUGGGUAUAUUUGUUUCUUAAGAAAUCCAAAAUAACAUAGGGGGGUGAUUUUGUAGGAACGACGACAAUAAAAUAAAUUCAAUUAAGAAAAUAAAAAUAAAUAACUAAUUAGAGAUUAAACAACAAUUCACUGAACUUAGAGUAAUAAUAAUUAAAGGCCUAAAUCAAUUAAAACAAGGAAGCAUGAAAAUAGAUGUACACUUAAGUGGAUUAGCUAGCAUUUCAUGAAGGAAAACAGAGUAGAACUAGUAGUUCACCAUGAAAAUAGGGAAAACUGGAUUACUCUAGGUCAUUUUAUCAUGAGAAUGAGAUUUGGCAAUAUUGAAAAUGAAUCCCUGGUUAAACAACAAUAAUAACAAGAGGUAAAUCUAUUCAUUUGUGUUGUUUAUACCAUAAGUGGAAUCUACAUCCCUAGAUUUAUUCUUGAGUGAAAUUUAUCCAUUUGCAUUUAGCAUUUGUUAAACUAGAUUUAUAGACAACAACAUUAUAAUUUCUCUGCUCAAAUUCAUUUAUAAGUCUAAAUAAUAGAGAAAAUAAGGGCCUAGUACUUGUUUAAAUUGCUCCUCGUGGGAUCGACUCGAUACAUACCAUACAUUACGAUUUCGACCUGUAUAGUUGCAGUCAACGGGUAUAAAAUCGGAUUCAAACUUGCAUUGAUAUAAAAAUCCCUUCAAGUUUUUGGCGUCGUUGCCAGAGAGUGGCAAUAUUAGGGUCUAAUCAUCUCUAUUAAUUUAGAUAUUUCUAUUGUUUUUAAGUUGUUUAUAGUUGAUUUUGCAUUAAUUUAGUUUUUGACAAUUAAAGCUGCAUAAUUUCUCUUAUUUCUAUUUGUAGUAAAUGCAUCGAACAUAUCGAGAAGUUACACCUUUCGAUCCAAAAAUUGAGAGGACACUUUGUAGACAAAGGAGCGAUAUACCGCAUCAAGAGGAACAAGAGAUUUGACAGCCGAUAGAGGAAAUUUUGAAAGAGCUACCGUUUGAGGAAGAAAUGGCGGAAAACAAACCAAAUAGGCGAGUUUUACGAGAUUUUGCUUUACCGGGGACACAAAGAUCUCAAACUAGCAUUGCAAAACCAACGGUAAAUGCUAAUAAUUUUGAGAUUAAACCAUCACUGAUUCAAAUGGUUCAACAAUCUCAAUAUGGGGGUAAUGCAACCGAAGAUCCAAAUUCUCACUUGUUAACAUUUCUUGAAAUCUGUGAUACAAUUAAGUUUAAUGGUAUUAGUGAUGAUGCAAUUAAACUUCGAUUGUUUUCAUUUUCGCUAAGGGACAAGGCCAAGGUUUGGUUAUAAUCUCAUCCUUCAAAUACUUUUACUACUUGGGCUGAAUUAGCUAAGGCUUUUCUUAAUAAAUUCUUUCCACCUGGAAAAACUGCUAAACUUAGAAUGGAUAUAACUAGUUUCUCUCAACAGAAAGGAGAGACAUUGUAUGAAGGUUGGGAGCGCUAUCAGGAAUUACAACGAAGAUGUCCUCAUCAUGGUUUACCAGAUUGGCUUAUAGUGCAAACAUUUUGCAAUGGUCUCACUUAUCCAACAAAGACGCAUGUAGAUGCAGCAGCGGGAGAAGCAUUGAUGGAAAAAUCAGCCAAGGAAGCUCAACAAUUGAUUGAAGAAAUGGCCGCUAAUAACUACCAAUGGGCCAACGAACGAGGUAAUACAAGGAGAACCGUAGGUAUGCUUGAAGUAGAUACCUUAAAUAUGUUAAGUGCAAAGAUGGAUAAUGUGGUUAAGAUACUUAAUAGGCAUGUUGGUUCUAGCUCUAAUCAAGGAGUAGUUGUUACAUGUUCUACUACUUGCAGCGGAGAUCAUGAUGAUUCUAUGUGUUCUAGCAGCGAACAAGUUCAAUAUCUCAACAAUUACAACCGUCCACCCCAAAAUAAUCUAUACUCCAAUACCUACAAUCCAGGAUGACUUAAUCAUCCGAAUUUUGGAUGGAAGGAUCAAGGGAACCAACAAAAACCAGUUAAUCCACUGGAUUUUCAACCGAAGCAACCACUUCCAGAGUCCAAACCAGCUUGGGAAUUGACAAUUAAGAAGCUGGCAAAUGUAUCAAAUGAUAAAAUUGAAAAGUUAGCUAGUGUCACUACUCAACGAUUUGAAAGAAUUGAGGGAAUGAUGGACCAACUCACCAAUAUGUAUAGGAAUGUUGAGAUCCAAUUAGGGCAAAUAGCAAAUGCAGUUAACAAUCGCAACCAAGGGGAUUUACCUAGCAAGACUGAGGUGAACCCAAGGGAGCAUGUGAAGGCCAUAACCUCCGUAGUGGUAAGGAAGUAGGUGAGCCACCUGUAGUUGAAAGUGAGAGAAAAUAUGAAAGAAGAGAAAACAAGCAGUUGAGUGAGUUAGGAGAUGAUAACAAAACAAUUGAUGGGAAAGAAAAUGUGGAAGAGUGUGAGCCACAAAUUGAAGAGGCAACACUAAUUCCUCUACCGGUGCCAUUUCCUCAAAGAUUGAAACCUUCAAGAAAUGACAAAGAAUUUGAGAAGUUUGUUAACAUUUUCAAACAAUUACAUAUUAACAUUCCUUUUGUUGAUGUUAUUUUACAGAUUCCUUCAUAUGCAAAGUUUCUCAAAGAAAUAAUGACUAAGAAAAGGAGGUUAGUAGAUAGUGAAACAAUUUCAUUAACGGAAGAAUGUAGUGCCAUCAUACAAAAUAAAUUGCCACCAAAGUUGAAAGAUCCGGGGAGUUUCACAGUUCCUUGCACUAUCGAUAAUGUAGAAUUUUCUAAAGCACUACGUGACCUUGGUGUGAGUGUUUCAUUGAUCCCUUUAACUGUGACUAGGCAAUUGGGGUUGAAAGAGUUAAAACGUACUAACAUUUCCUUGCAAUUGGCUGACAAGUCUAUUAGACAUCCAAUGGGCAUUUUGGAGAAUAUGCUUAUUAAAGUGCAGAAAUUCAUUAUUCCUGUUGAUUUUAUUGUUUUAGAUAUGGAGGAAGAUGUCAAUGUACCUAUUAUACUUGGUAGACCAUUUCUGGCCACUGCAGAUACAAUAAUAGAUGUUAAAUGUGGUAAAUUUAAGUUCCAAAUUGGUGAAGAGGAAGUGGAGUUUGAUUUGAGUAAAGUGGAGAAGUAUCCCUCUUUUACUGACCAUAUUUAUUCUAUUGACAUAUGUGAUGAAUUAGCGUUAGAGAUAAGUCAAGUUAAUCUUGAUAAUGAUUCUCUUGAACUUUGUCUUAAUGAUGUAGGCUUACAAGAGGAACAAGUUGAAGAAAUGACUGAAUUUUUGCAGGUACAAAUUCCUUACAAAAGGAGAAAUGCGUAUGAGGAGUUAGGGCUGAGCAAAGGGCUACCUCCACCAUCGUGUGAGCAAGCUUCACGGCUUGAGCUUAAGCCACUCUCUAAACACUUCAAAUAUGCAUUUCUUGGAGAAAAUGAGACAUUGCCGGUGAUUGUCAAUACUGCACUAGAUGAGGAACAACUAGGAAAGCUUUUACGUGUUUUGAGGAAACAUUUAAAAGCUAUAGGAUGGACAACUUUUGAUAUCAAAGGAAUUAGUCCAACUAUUUGUAUACACAGGAUUUUGUUAGAAGAAAAUUCUAAGCCGGUGGUUGAAAUUCAAAGAAGGUUAAAUUCAAACAUGAAAGAAGUGAUAAGAGUACAAAUCCUUAAAUGGCUAGAUGCAGGUAUAAUUUUUCCAAUCUCUGAUAGUGUUUGAAUUUCUCCUAUUUAUGUAGUGCCAAAGAAAGGGGGGAUAAACAUAGUACGUGGUAAAAAUAAUGAAAUGAUUUCCUCUAGAGUUGUGGUUGGGUGACGAGUCUGUACUGAUUAUAGAAAACUGAAUGCAGCUACUAGAAAGGAUCAUUUCCCUCUUCCUUUUCUUGAUCAAAUGGUAGAAAGAUUGGCUGGAUAUGAAUUUUAUUGUUUCUUGGAUGGUUUUUCAGGAUACAAUCAAAUAGUCAUUGUACUGAAAGAUCAAGAUAAAACCACAUUCACUUGUCCUUACGGCACUUUUGCAUUUCGAAAAAUGCCUUUUUGAUUGUAUAAUGCACCGGCCACUUUCCAACAUUGCAUGAUGGCAAUUUUCUCUGAUUUUAAUGAGAAAAUCAUGGAAAUCUUCAUGGAUGAUUUUUCUGUAUUUGGAUCUACUUAUGAUCAUUGCCUUAACAAUUUAGAUCUAAUUUUGCAGAGAUAUGAAGAAACAAACCUUGUACUCAAUUGAAAAAAAUGUCACUUCAUGGUUUGUGAGGGUAUUGUUCUAGGGCACAAAAUUUCUUCACAAGGUAUUGAGAUAGAUCAAACCAAGAUAGAGGUUAUUGAGAGAAUGCCUCCACCUACCAAUGUGAAAGGCAUUCAAAACUUUCUUGGACACAUGGAAUUUUAUCGGCAGUUUAUUAAGGAUUUCUCCAAGAUUGCUAAACCUUUAUGUGAAUUACUUGCAAAAAAUAUUACUUUUCACUUUAAUGAUGAGUGUUUAUUUGCUUUUAAUAGGUUGAAAAAGGAACUUGUCUCCACAUCCAUAAUAGCAUCACCACCAGAUUGGAGCUUGCCAUUCGAAUUGAUGUGCGAUGCGAGUGAUUUUGCAGUUGGAGCUGUUCUUGGGUAAAAACAUGAUAAGCGACUUUAUGUCAUUUAUUAUGCAAGUAAAAUGCUAAAUGAAACCCAAGUCAACUAUGCAACAACAGAGAAGGAGUUGCUAGUAGUGAUAUUUGCAUUGGAUAAGUUUAGAUCGUAUUUAGUAGGAUCUAAAGUCAUCAUUUAUACCGACCAUGCAGCACUCAAGUAUCUCUUAAAUAAGAAAGAUGCAAAACCUGGACUAAUUCGAUGGAUUUUAUUAUUGCAGAAAUUUGAUUUGGAGAUCAAAGAUAAAAAAGGAUCCGAGAACUUAGUCGCUGAUCAUCUUUCUAGACUGAAAAACAUGCUUCAAGAAGACCAUUCAUCCAUUAAAGAAGAAUUUUCAGAUGAGUUUUUAAUGGCAAUUUAAAAGUCACCAUGGUAUGCUAAUUUAGUUAAUUUUGUAGUUAGUGGAGUGAUAUCAAGUGAUUUGAAUUCCCACCAAAGGAAAAAAUUCUUAAAUGAUGCUAAACAUUAUUUUUGGGAGGAACCAUUCUUUUAUAAACAUUGUGCAGAUGGAAUAAUUAGAAGAUGUGUUCCGGAAGAAGAGGUACACAGUAUUUUAAUACAUUGUCAUACCCUUGAAACGGGAGGUCAUUUUAGUACAACUAAAACCGUAGCAAAGGUAUGACAAUUUGAAUUUUACUGGCCUACUAUAUACCGAGAUGCUAGAAAUUGGGUUAAAAGUUGUAAUUAAUGCCAAAGAACUGGUAACAUCUCUAGAAAGGAUGAAAUGUCUCUAACUAAAUAUUUGGAAGUUGAACUAUUUGAUGUUUGGGGUAUUGAUUUUAUGGAACCAUUUCCUAGUUCUUUUAAUAAUAACUACAUCUUAGUAGCAGUGGAUUAUGUUUCUAAAUGGGUAGAGGCAAUUGUUUUCACCUACUAAUGACUCUAAGGUUGUACUCCGGUUUCUUAAAAAGAAUAUUAUUUGCAGAUUUGGUAUCCAAAAGACCAUAGUUAGUGAUGAAGAAAAAUAUUUUUGUAAUAAACACCUUCACUCAUUGUUUAAAUAUGGCUGCAGGUACAAGACAUCACUUCUGUACCAUCCUCAAGCCAACGGACAAGCGAAACUAGCUAAUAGAGAGAUAAAACUCAUUUUGGAGAAAACUGUAAUUGAAUCACGCAAAGAUUGGGCUACAAAGCUAGAUGAUGCACUAUGGACUUACCGACCGGCAUUUAAGACACCUUUAAGGAUGUCGCCGUAUCGUUUAGUCUAUGAAAAAACUUGUCACUUACCUGUAGAGAUUGAACAUAAAGCUUAUUGGGCUAUUAAAGCAAUUAACGUGAACUUUAAUCUUUCAGGUGGAAGGAGGCUACUUGAGUUAAGUGAAUUGGAGGAACACCGAUUACAUGCGUAUGAAAAUGCCAAAAUUUAUAAAGAGAAGAUCAAAUAUUGGCAUGAUAAAUAUAUUCUUCCUAAGCAUUUUGAAGAAGGGCAAAAGGUGUUAUUGUUUAACUUAAGACUUAAAUUGUUCCCUGGAAAGCUUAAGUCUCGAUGGUCCGGACCAUUUGAAAUAGCUCACACAUUUCCUUAUGGAGCGGUGGAAAUAAAAGGAGAAAAUGGUGCCCCAUUCAAAGUGAAUGAUCAAAGAUUGAAGCUCUAUUUGGCCGGAGAAAGGGUUCCUAAAGGAGUAAUUUACUCCUUAGGAAACACAAUGGAGAGUUAAGAAAACUGUAGGAGAGUCGAGUUUAACGAUUUUAAAUAAAGCGCUUGUUGGGAGGCAACCCAAUAAUAAUAUUGUAGUUGUGUGUUUUUAUGUGUUUCUUAAAUUUUGGUGUUAUUUGAUUGACUAAUUAUAUGUAUUUCACUUGUUGUAGGGGGUGCCGGCAUUUCAACUUCCAUAGGUGCACUUGAAGAACAAUAGUUAAAAGGGAAGUUUUCUUACCAAAUUCUGUUUUAAGUGUUUAAAAUUCCCUUUCAUGUAUAAUAUGUUGCAUUUCCAUUGUAUUCAAGUAAGUUUUAGUGAUAACAUGUUUAUACAUGUUCAUUGAUUCAUUUGAUGUGUAUCUCAUACCUAAGGGAGCCCUCUUAGUGUAAAAGUGCCAAAAUGAUCAAAGAAACUCACCCCUCGAUUUGCAAUGUAUAUGUGUUUGAUGUAUUUUGAGAGGUUGGAUAUUGUGUUUAUGGUAUAUUACACUUGCGUGAAAGGGUAGAAUUGAUAGAAAUUUCGUCCAAGGUGUAAUUUGGAAAUUGCCGAAAAAGGAGGAAAAAGUUUGAAAAAUUGCAAUUUCUGAAAUUGUUGCAGAAAAAGCCAGAUCCGAGCUCGAAUCCGUUAAAGAUUCAAAGACGAAAUUGGAGAUCCAACCUCGGAUCCGAAGUUGUUCACUAUGAUCCGAGGGCUCAUCUGUGUUUCUGGAAGGCCGGAUCCGAGCCUAUAGGAUCCGAGCCUUGGUAUACACGAUCCGACCUCGGAUUGUGUAUUCUUGAAAAAUUCAGCAUAGGGGAUCCGAACUAGGAUCCAACAAAAUCUAGUAGGAUCCGAGGGCUCGACUGAACUUCUGAAGUAGCGGAUCCGAGCCCUAUCGGAUCCGAGGGAUGCCAGAACCGAUCCGACCUCGGAUCUGUGCGCGAUAAAAACAAAUCCGAGGCUUCGGUUCUGCAUUUGUCCAAUUCUCCUUUUCCUAUUUCACCGAAAACCCUAGCCCUUUUUCACCAAUCUUCCAUUUCAUCCAAUAAUUAUUCAAUCUUUCACCACAAAAACAUCUCCCAACCUCUUGUGAUCAUAAACCCUCAACAAAUUCAUUUUAAAAACAUCAAUUUGGGGGGUUUUGAUCUUCAAAACGGGAAUUCAGGCCGCACUGAAAUCUCGCAAUUUGUGGUCGAAUUUGGGCUUGUUUCUUCAUCACUUUGCAUCAUUAUCAUCCUCCACCAUCAAUCUACACAUUUGAGGUAACAAUUUGCAAUUUUCUUUGAGAUUUUAUAAUUCCCAAUUUUACAUUUUUCUAGUUUUGGACAUAUUUUGGUAAUUGCUCAUAAGUUGAAAUUUUUUGAUACAAUUGUGCUACAUUGUGCUUAAAUAGAUUGUCACAACUAUUUUCAUGCUUAGUUUUGAGAGAAUUGUGAAUUUGGUAUUAUUUUGUAGAUUUUUCUUCUAAAAUUUUAGGUUAAUGCACAUGAACUCUUUAAUGAAUGAAAUUACUCCUCUAUGUGAACUACUUGCAUGCUUAAAAUUGAGAAAAUUGUUAUUAUAGUGAUAUUUUUGUAUAUUUUUCUCAAUUUUUAAGUUUAAGCAUGUUAAAUCUUUUGCUUGAAUAUUCCUUGUUCUUAGAGAUAAUUGGCAUUCAUUAAGAAGAAUUGGAGCUCAUUAGUUGGUACUUUGGUGAUAAUGUGUAUAGCCAAUUGGUGUGUAAUUGUUGGAUAAAAUCAUGAGAUAAUUGGCCCGUACAUUCUUGAAGUAAUGAAAUUGAUCUUUUAAGAGUCCUUUUUACUUUGAGAUUAUAUUCUAUUGAAAUAUGCAUCAAUUCUUAAGAGAUUGGACUUUUUAAUGAGAUUCUAAUUAAAAUAUGCUGUUCAAUUGUUGAAAGUGGAAUAUUCAAACAAUGUGUUGAGAUUGUAGAUUGAAAUUGAUAUCAUGCAUGUGCAAUGAGCUUGUGAAUUGGUUAAAUACGAUAUGGCCGUGAAUUUGUUGAUUGUUGGCAGGGAGUUUUUUCCUUUUAUUAGGGGAAACUCUGCCGAAAUUUUCCCAAAUCAUUUUUAAACAUUGUUGGUCGUGUAUUUUCAAGGGAUUUAGAAUUCUUCUAAUGUGUGUUUGAUCUUGUUUUUGAUAUAGGUACCAUGACUCGCACAAGACGAUCUCGUGUUCGCACUCCUUCACCUUCUUCAAGUGAAGAGCAUACUCCUUCAAUGCCUAAGGAGUCACCAGGGGAAGAAUCUCCUUCACCACAGUCGCCGCCACGCUUACGGCGUAAGAGAGCAUCUACGAGCCAUGAGAAGCUAGCUCUAGAUUAUGACACCACUCGUUUUAGACAAAGAGAUCAUAAUUGAAAAACACUUGGCCCCGGAGAUGGAUGACCACUCACUACAAGAAAAUUGUUCAUCAGUGACAACACAAAGUCAUCACAGAACAUACAAAUAUCGUCACAAAUACCUUUUAUUGACGACUUUUCGAUCGUCACAAAGUCGUCACUAAAUCCCCGUCGGUAAAAGUAAACAGUGACGACAUUUUAGGUAGAGCAUUUUUGACAAAAGAUCAAUUCGUCAAUAAAACACUUCCAGAUUGUCGUCACUAAUGACAACUAUUUAGUGACAACUAUUUGGUCGUCACUAAAUAGUUGUCAUUAGUGACGACAAUCUGGAAGUGUUUUAUUGACGAAUUGACCUUUUGUCAAAAAUGCUCUACUUAAAGUCGUCACUAAAAAGCACCGAAAGCCAUUGUAUAUAACUAUUUUACUGACAACAAUUGUCGUCACAAAUGUAACUUAGAUUUAGUGACAGUCUCUGUUGUGACAAGGAGUUUUUAUUUUCUAUUUUGUGACAACUUUUUUUUGUCAUUAGAUAAUUUCAUAAUAGCUUAAUAGUCAUAAUUUGGCCUGUAAUCAUUGCUAAAUCAUUGAUUUUGAACAAACCAUACAAAUAAACAUAAACGAUUGAUAACCAAAAGUAUUUGCAUUAGAUUACAUGGUAAUAAUAUAGCAUUCUCAAAUGCCAAAUUCAAGUGUACAUUGCCCAACUAAUGCCUACAAAAAUAACAUUUGUCCAAAAUAUCACUUGUACAUAAGGUACAUUUACAAAAGCAAUCACAGUUUAAGAAAUUGAAGAACAUCUAAAUGAACCACUCCAUGAGCAAAAGGCAAUUUUGUCUUCAACAUUCUUCAACCAUAACCAUAGAUAUCUUCCAAAAGCUAGUAUGAAUAGCAUUUAUCUGUCAUAAAAGAGUAAAAGAAGUAGGUAAGGGGAGGAGUACAAUAAUAAAGAACAAGUAAUGAGACUUAGAUUAUUAAGACAAAAAUUACAAUUCAUUAAGAAUCUCAUAUAAUUUGGGCCCACAUAUUACAACACCAGCAAGAAGUUAGAAAUCACAGUCCAAUCUAUACAAAUACAACACUGCAUAAGCUCAACUAAAGAGCUCUCUAAAACAGUUUUUUUUUAAUUUUCUUUCUUCUUCUUUAAAUAGCUCAACUUAUUGAACAAUUAAAUUGGACUCCCACAGUAAUUAUUGUUUAAUGUUUAUGCUUUUGGUUGUUUAUAUAUUAAAACUAGGUGAUUGCUUCCCACGCAAGGCAUGGGAACUUUAGACCUGUUAGUAAGGUUGUAUUUGUUAUUGUAAUAUUUUUAAUAUUUUAGAUGAUGAAAAGAGUGAUGUGAUGUGUAUCGUGAACUUGGGCUAGGAGUGAAAAGGAGUAUUAGUCAAAAAUAUAUUAGUUCCAAGAGUAGUCAUGUACUAAUACAAAGGAUACAGCCAAUGCAGUAAUGAUGAUUCACAAGAAAAAGGAAAGCAUGAUAUUUACAUAUACAACAGUAAUUUAGUAUAGAUGAUUCAAAAGAAAGAGGCUCCUUUGACGUUCAAAUACAUUCCAUUAUCAUGUAACAACAACUCAGAUGACAAUGAAAUAAAUUCACAAGUACCAAUCACUUGGUCAUUACUGCAGUAACAGUUAAUGGAAGUAGCAAGAUAUUGCUACAACUUGGUCACAUGCAAAUUUUUUUUUUGUUCUGGGUUCACAAGGAAUGAAUUCAUAAAUUAUGAAGCAGCAAAAUAAAUUCACAAGUACCAAUCACUUGGUCAUUACCACAGCAACAGUUUCAAUACCAACAGUUUCAACUUUCUUGAGACAAUCAAGUUGCAUCUUAAGUUUGCAAAAUAUCAAGUUUUACAUGUCCAUUAAAAAUUUUAAAAAGUACCUUUGCUUUCAUCACCACCUUUCCGGCUUAGGAUACCUCCUUGAACACCACCCCCAUAAAGCCACUGCUUCAUCUGGUUUUACACUCUUGUUGGGUUCCUUUCCAUCAAAGUAGUCCUUGAGAAGUUAUUGGACUUUUGGGAUCCUGGUAGCCCCACUAACAGGAACAAUUUCAUGCAUCUGGUGGUUCUCCAAACCAGCAUCCCCCAUAGCCUUCUUGACAAGUCCCAUGUUUUUGCUAAAGAGGUCAUUGUUCAACUCGUCAAAUCAAGCAUGAGUCUUAACUUGCUGCUGGCUGCUUAAAGCUCUUUUGGCACGGUCAGCUUCCCUCAGUUUUCCAAGUGGUCUGUUGUGGUUGCUGAUGUUCUUUCCAUGUUUCUUGUUAAUCAACUUGAUGAAAUAUUCUAUAAUCCUUUGAUGAAAGCCUUUGCCUACAAUAAAACAGAGCAAUUAGAACCAUAUGAAAGCUUUUUAUAAGAAAUGUAACUAAUAAAACUUAUACAAGAAAUUGGUUGCUUUAAUUAGUGUAGUUAGAUAAACUUUUUUAAUUCGUAGUUAGACAGGCAACUGCUGCUGCUCUGGGUUCAUUGAUAGUCCUAGCAACAUUCAGCCCAGCAAUAAUACCUGCAUUCUUUGUUGCCUGCCUCUGGGCAUCACUGAAGUAAAAUAUGAUUCAACGAGUAACUCUAGAAAUUGAACUAUACCGGGAACAGUUACCACAGCAUCCUUAAUUUUCUUUGCAAGGAAAGCUUCAGCUGCUUCUUUCAUCUUAGUUAAAACCAUUACACUAAUUUCCUCAAGACUGAAGACUUUAACCUUACUAUCCUUAAUUUUCACCUAGAUAUAAGGUUUUCCAUCCUUGUUCACAAUCUUACAAGGAACGAGCUUCAUAUCCCUCUAAACUUCAUUAGUCUCAAUCCUGUUAUAUAACAGUUAAGACUUCAGUGAGCAUAUGUAUACACACCAAAAUGUUCCAGCAAAAAUGAUAAAUACACGAGUGUGCCUUACUUUCAUCCAAUAAAUCUCUUGACAUCAAAGAUAGUUCUUUCAACAUUAACAUCGAAUCAGUCUUUCGCUACCAGCAAAUGCAAUCCAUGAUGGCUUAAUACGAUUCCUUGGUCAUUUGCUGUGAUUUCAACAUGACCAUUUUUGUAAAUAUGAGCACAUGAAUAGGUAGUUCCAAGAUCUAUUCCAAUGACUAUUCCCAAUUUUGCAGCUUAUUCUUUGGUGAUGGAAAUUGUAGAUAGACAGCCUUUUGCACCGAAAAAUAUUAUUGGAAAAAGUAAAACUCUUAUGUAUAGUUUUUGAGAGAAAAAAACUAAAACACUGCAGGAUGAAGCAAUUCCACACUCAUGAUGAAAUCCACAAUUACUCGAGCAACCGUGGGAUUGAAGAGUUCGAAGAGCUUGCUCAAACAUUGUGGUGACCAUCCCAAGAACAAGUGGAAAAAAUAAGAACUCAUUUAAUUUCAAGAAAAUGAAAUGAACAUCAAGUAUCAAACUAACAAACAGUGCAGGAACAGAAGAAGGAUAUGAACUGCGAAGAACAAUCUGAUAGAUAGCCUAGUGGUUAAUGGUUUUUUUUCCCAUCUCCCUUUUUUCUUCCUUCCCAAUCCUUCCUUGCUAAAAAAUGGCUUUGAAAGUAUCAAAUAGUACCUAUCAAAUUAGCGAACUGAGUUAGUUUAAAGAAGAUCCUAUAAUAGUUAUUCUAAAAAUCUUUAGUCACUUGCUACGUGAGGAGGGCGUGGCAGAUAAUAACUCUUUGUUUUUUGGCUCAUUUCGAAUUGAUAUACUUUUUGGCUUAAUUGGAGAGAACUAAUUUGAAUCAUUUCCAACCAGUUUACAGAUAAAAAAAAUUUCAUUUAUGAAAAUGAAAUAGAAAAAAUAAUAGCACAAAAACAAUGAAAAUAGACAUCAAUGGCUAGUAAAAAAAAGGUGUUCUUUUAUCAUUGAAAAUUAGGCCAAUGCUGAUCAAUGAGCUAUAGUUGUUUGACUAUCAACAGACAUAAUAUCAAGAAAUUACGAGAGCUUUUUUUGCUGUAACAUCAACAGGCAUAAUAUCAGAUGUGUAAUCUUGUUUUACCAGAGUUUCUGCCUAUACAGUGAUAAUCUAGCACAUUAACAGGCAAAAACAAUAAUCAGGCAGACAGUCACUGAAUCGAAUAAUCAGGUAGCUUAUUUUCAUUGAGCACCACCUUGCCAUCAGAUGAUUUUCAUGAAUCACUUAUCAGCAUCUUUGACUACAAGAAUUAGUACCUUUUAAUAGAUCAGCAGAAAGCCGCAAGAUUUUUCCAAACUUUAUCAACCACGCUGCAUAUCACAUGAUAUUAUUCCCAUUCAAUUGUUGAUGGAGGCUUGGAAGUAAUAUCUUGAACAACUCGAUUUACACCACAUACACUAUUGCAUAUCUUUCUUGCAACAACAUCAAGGAAAUUGUGUUCAAAAUUGUACCAGUCAGCAGUCAUCCCAUCUUGAUUUGUGACAGCUCUCAAUGCAACAACAUGAGAAUGUGUUCUUUGAUCACCUUGAACUCCAACAGACCUUAUGGGCAAGAAAACAGCAAAAGCUUGCUAUAUUUUAAAAAAAACAACCAAACCAAAUCAAACCAACCUUUACUAAUGAUUCUAAGAAAAACCCACUUCAAUUUUGCCAAGAAACAAAUUGCAAAACAAAUGAUACAGGAAAAGAAACAUCCAACUUCAUAAAACUAAACAAAAAAGCCAUAGAAAACAACAGAAAACGUAAAUGGAGUUUGAAAGUGAUAUUCUUAGAGGGGUUCAAAUGCAACUAAAUAGGGACUUAACUGAAUGAAUUAUGGAUGUUUUAGGGUCGAAUUAAGUUCAGGAACUCUGGGGCUAAAUUACAAAAAAGAAAAUGGAAUGACCGGAAUUGCAAAUUUAAGCAAACGAUCGUCUUCCCCAAGCAGAUUAGGCAUCAAUCUUCUAUUUAGACCUUCACUCGGGCAUUUUAACAAACAGUACAUGGGCAUAGAAGGAUCCAGCAAUUUUUGCUCAAUUGGGACUGUAAUUAGCCCCCCAAAAUUUGUCAAAACACAAGAGAUUUCAGUCCAAACAACAUACAAUAGCAUACAAUCUAAAAUCGUUAGCAAUCAACAUGAAGUUGGCACUGAACAAACGCACGGCAAACAUGCUUUGAGACUUUUCAAUGUUCAUACUAAAAAUGGAAAACUAAAAUUCAAAGAAGGCAGACCGCUUAUAGCGUUUGCUUGGCGAAGUCUGCAGGCGAUGGUGAUGGUCGAAGGAAGGUGCGAAUGAUCAGGCGGCUAUAGCUGCCAUGGUAGCCACGCUGGAGCUGGGCGCCAGUGGUGGGUGGCAACAUGAAAUCGAGGAGCGACAGUGAGAGAGAAAGGUCGUGCGGGAAGGGGAGAUGCGUCAGGCAGCUAGGCGGCGCACGAAAUGGAGGUGCCGUGGCGGAACUUGGAGGCGUCGGAAAUUGGAUGAGAGCAGAGUGACGGCAGCUAUGGAGAUUGCGCUCUGUGAUGGCCGAUGAGCGGCUGUUGCUCUGUAUUUUCUUUGUGUCCCCUCUAGGCCAAGACCUUUCUCUGUUUCUGGUUUCACUUCCUCAAUCACCAGCCCCCAAAUGAAACUUUAGUCUUUUCCUUCGUUCCCCUGCCGACGACCCCUUUUCUUCCUUGACAGCUAAAAGAUUUUGGGCAGAAAUUUGCAAAAAAUAUUGUAGAAUAUUAGGGAUUUGGAAAAAUUGGGGAAAAUGUAUAGGAGAGAGAAAAAUGAACCUUUCCAAUGAAAACCUUGCCCUUUAAUGCUGGACAGCCAUGGUGAUGCUAGUGAGAAGCCAGAGAACGGAUUUGUUGUGUGGGUGAAGGUAUCAGGUGCCGUGUGGAAGCUCUGUUUUGUGCUCAGUGCAGAAGCUUGUUUGUUUCAGCUCGGUGAAAGUUUGUGUUGCUCAAGUGUUCCGUUGCUUUAACUCAGACCAAGUGUUCCGUUGCUUUUCUUUUCAGAAUGUGUUCCGCUGCUUUGGUCUUUGCUUUGCUUUGGAUAUUGUUUUUGUUGCGCGGCACUUUCACUAUGAUUUGAUCAAAAUUUUGACUUCACUCAUUUUCCCUCCAUUUGAUACCAAAAUUCAUGUUUUUUUCUGGAUUUGUAAUAUGGUUUGAACCAUAGAUUUUAAUGCUAUAGUAUUAUUCUUUAUUUUUUAGCAAAAAAUAAAAAUUUUCAUCAACAUAGGUGGCAAAAUUUGUUAAUUUCAUAUAAUUGAAAAUGUACUUUUAUAAUUUGCUAAUAUUUUAUACUAAUUUCUUAUAAUUGCAGCACUAAAGAACAUCAUGUAAUUCAAAAUAAUUAAACUCAAAUUAUAUCGUUAUAACAUAGUUUCAAUAAAAAUAAUCAUUUUCCCAACAUUUGAGACCAAUCAUCAUGCUUUUUUUAUUUUUAAUUUGGUUUGAAGCAUAGAUUUUAUUGCUAUAGUAUUAUUCUUUAUUUUUUAGUACAAAAACACAAAUUUUCAUCAAUAUAGGUGGCAAAAUUUGUUAAUUACAUAUAAGUGAAAAUAUACUUUUAUAAUUUGCAAAUAUUUUAGCCCUGCAAUUUUUUAUAAUUGCAGCACUAAAGUACAUCAUUAAUUGAAAAUAACGAAAGUCAAAUUCUAUGGUUAUAACAGACUUUCAUUAAAAAUAAUCAAAUGCUAUUAAUAAGACAUUAUUGUUAAGUCAAAAUCAAAGAAAAUUUAGUGAUGACAUAAUGUUAUCACUAAUUUAUUCAAGAUUAUAAUGACAAGAAAAGUCGUCACUAAUUAAAUUGCUAGUUUUUAAUAUUGUCAAUUGCUAGUUUUUAAUACUUUUGUGAAAAUACUGAUAAUGGUUGAGAAAAUUUUGUUACAUUACUGCAAGUGAUAAAUGUACUUUUGUUCUUUUUCAAACAUUUAUUUUAAUGUUUAAUUUUGUUUAAAACUAUUGUACUAGUAUAGAUUUGCAAAACAAAACUUAAGUUCUCAAUAGUUAAAAAAUUCAUUACAGAGAAAACACAAAGUAGUAGUUGCAAAAUGUGUAUAAAUUACAGAUAUUUUAAUGUGUAUAAAUUACAGUUUAUUUUAAUAUUUAAUUUUGUUUGAAACUAUUUUACUAGUAUAGAUUUGCAAGACAUAGAUUUAUGGGUAAUUUUUUUUUUUUGCUUUCACAUAUUUAAUUUAUGUUAAAUACAAAACCUACCAGUUUCCCUUUCAUAAAAAUAUUAGUGCAACACUUUUUGAAUUUUACUUACAAACAUUUAUGUAUUUAACGUAAAUUAAAUGAUUCAGAGUGAAAUGCCCAUAAAGAGCAGAAUAUUUAUUCAUGUAAUGGAGGAAACCCACAAGGAGUUGGUACUUUAUGGGCCAUUUCUUUUUUUAAAAAAAUUUAAUUUAUGUUGAAAAGAUAACCUGCCAGUUUUCGUUUUGUAAGAAAUCAGUGUAAUACUUUUUGAAUUUUACUUACAAACAUUUAUAAAUUUAUCAUAAAUUAUAUGUUUGAGAGUAAAAUGCCCGUAAAAAGUUGGUACUUUAAAUAGAUAAUGCUCAUUUGCCCAUAAACUACACUCCCUAAAGGCUAUUUUGUUAAUUAUUUUGUAGUACUUUGUUAUUCCUUUGCUAAUACUACUUGGCAUGUAGUACAAAGGAUAAAUCUGGCAUAAAUUUCUUAUUCCAUUGAUAAAAAGACCUGCCUGCCUUAUAACUAUUGUAAUGAAAGAUAUAUCUUUAGAGUUUAUAACAAAUUAUUACUUAAGUUUGAGAAAAUUAUAAAAUAUUUAUGCAUAGUUUAUCAAGAUACCAUUCGCAAUUUCCUAAUAAAAAAAUAGGGGCUAAAUUGUAAAAGCUAGGGUGCCAUAAUAGAAAUAAUAAAAUUGGUGUAUUACAUAUGGGGGUUAAAUUGCAAAAGUUAGAGUGCCAUAGUAGAAUUAAUAAAAUUGAAUUAAUAAAAUUGGUGAAUUACAUAUGGGGCUAAAUUACAAAAAUUAGGGAGUAAUAAUAGAAUUAAAGAAAUCGGUGCACUACAUAUGGGGCUAAAUUGUAAAAGUUAAGGUAUCAUAAUCGAAUUAAUGGAAUUUUUUACAACAUUUGGGGCUAAAUCGCAAAAGUUAGGGUGGCACAGUAGAAUUACAGAAAGUGACUUAGAAAUAAGUACUUUAAACAGUGACGAUUAAUUCUUGUCACUAAAUCCAAAUCGGUAGAGUGACAGUGACGAUAUUAGAAGUUGUCACUAUAUAGAUCAUUUUAGUGACAACUUUUUCAAGGUCGUCACUGAACACUUAGUUGCUUUGAGCAAUUAUGACAACUUUCCUUGUCGUCACUAAACAAUCACGUUUUGUGACGAAUUUUGUCGUCACUAAAAAAUGUUGUCACUAAUGACCAUAUUUCUUGCAGUGUAGUUUGUGACGAAAAUAACGGGUCGUCACUAAACAUUUAGUUGCUUUGAUGCAAUUAUGACAACUUUAGGUGUCGCGACUAAAGAAGCUCCUUUUGUGACGACUUAUUGUCAUCACUAAAAAAUGUUGUCACUAAUAAAUUUUUUUUUUAGUGAUCAGUGACGACAACAAAAAGUCGUCCGUAAAUAGGCCAAGCAAUAGUGAUGAUGUUCUUAAUGUCGUCACUAUUGUGUGUUCUAAACACUCCCGCGCUCUUGCUAAAACUUGGCGGGAAUUUACUAAGUCGUCACAAAUGGGUUGGCUCCCAUUAGAGGUUUGUGACGAGUUAGAAAUUCGUUAAUAAAUGAUCCACUUUUGUGACAACUUUUUUUCGUCACAGAGAAAAGUUGUCACUGAUGACCAAUUUUCUUGUAGUGACUACAAGAUCUCCACGGCAUUCAAGUGACUUAGAUGGGAGACUAUACUAAAUUUGCCGAAGCAUUACUAUCCCAAUCUGGUCCGGGAGUUCUACGCCAAUGUGGAAGACAAAUAGAGCCACAGUGGCAACCUUAUCAUCUCCUGGGUUCGAGGCAAGAGAGUGGCUCUCACUCGACAUACAAUCACCCAAAUCGUCAAACUAAAGGACAAUGGAGAAGAUGUUAAAUUGACUAAGGAAUUUAAGGCACGUGAUCCAUGGCAAGUCGGAGAAACUGUGGCACGUCUUAAGGGUCAAUAUCGGGAGUGAGGAAGUUCGAAGAAGCUCAUUGUAUACGCCGAUUCCUUUGAGCAUAGGUACCACCUGAUCUUCUAUCUCUUCGCCUUCAAUGUGGUACCAAAAAGGAGUGGAAAAAGGGAGCUCCGAAACGGUGACUUGUAUUUCCUCGAUAAUAUGAUGCAUGGUGUAGGUAGGCUGCUGACUGGUAUUCCUCUGGCCAGCAUCAUCAUCAGUUACAUGCGUACUACAGCUUGCAUGAGAGCCGACGAAACUUGCUUUGGGUUCCCUCGUUUGCUCUCCCUUAUUUUUAAGCAACUCAAGGUUCCUCUGGGAACCGAGUGAGCCAUUGUUACUAGGGCAGCCGAGGAAGUCAACGGCUCAGUACUUAGGUCCUUAGGUAUUCCUACGGAUUUUGGAGCUUCUCUGGUACAGGAUGUUGGAGAAGCAUCGACUUCAGCUUAGCCUCCAGCUCACACUGAACCACACCAGGAAGCUCAAGAGAUGGAGGCAUAGCAGACUCUCCCUCCUCCCAUUCCACGACCACCCCCUCCGCAAUGAUCCAAGUGGCAAGAGGCCCUCAAUGCCAUAUGCUGUAUGGAGACACGAGUCAUCAAGCGCAUUGAUCAGACGGAGCGGCUGAUGACGGAGCGACUAGACAGGCAUGAUCGCCAUCUUCGAGCGAUCGAGGAUCAUUUCCACAUUCGCCGCUCCCCUACACCGAUUCCUAAGCCAAGGCCCGAUGAGGGCAUGCAGAUCGUGAGGAGGGUGGCAGCAAUGCAGAUCAUGAGUUGGGCGGCAGCACUGAAGCGACUGAGCUUGGCGUCUCCUCUGCAUAAUUUACUUUCUUUUCAGCUUUUAUUUAGUUUUUCAUCUUUUAUUUUCGAUUUGGUGUUAACUUUUUGUUAUUUUUCUAUUUUUCUUAAAACUUGUGGAAUGGUCUCACUCUCUAUGGAUAUAUAUUUUUCCCUUCAUACAGAAUUUGGCUAGUAGAAUUUGGAUGAUCGUGAUGAUCGUGGUUUCAAAUUGCAUCACUACUUCUUUUGAGAGGAGUAUUAGUUUCUUUUACCUUCCUCUACAAUGAGGACAUUGUGAAUUUUAAGUGUGGGGGAGGGAUUACUUUAUCUUAUGGGGUGAUUGUGUUUUGAAGUGCAUGAUUUUAGUUAUUUAUGGCCUAGAAAUGUUGGAAUCAUAUUUGGAAAUAUUGUCAUGAAGAUAAUUUUCUUGAAAUUGAGGCUGUUGGCAGGGAGUUUUAUCCAUAUAUAUGGGGAAACUCUGUCAAAAUUUUUCUAAAAUAUUUUCCAAUAUUUCAUUGCAAUUCUUUCCAAUAAUGGCCGAAAUGUUCAAUUUUAAAUGUCUAAUUCUUCCAUUGGAUAAAAUGUUAUAUAUAUUUUGGAAAGUUUAGUCCUUAUUUGACUUGGCAUUAGUCAUUAUGCAAUUAGGAUUUUACAUUUUAGAAAGUAUAUUCGGUUAAAUAAGGAAAAUUAUGCUUAGAAUUUUGCAGGUUUAAUGAUAUUUCUCAUUUUUACUUAAUUUUAUAAGUAAGUGAUUGAUAUAGUCAAAACAAGGCCAGAUUCAUCCUUUAAUUAUGCUCAGAGGGAAAUUGAUUAUUAAAAAAAAAAAUUCUACUCCAAUGAUUCGCAUACUGAGUAACCGGGGGUUAGCAUUUACAAAUGUCGACAUUCGCGUAAAAAGGUAUUGGAAUUAAAAGUAUGCCUAGCAAUUUAAAUGAGUGAAAUGUUGAGUAACCGGGAAUCUUCACCUAAAAGUGUAGAUUUUCACGUAAAAAGGCAUUGUCACUAUUUAAGUAAAAUGAAGUAUAAAAAAUCCCUCUCAGUUAUGAAAAUUUUGAUGGAUAUAUGAUGAGAAAUGCCAUAGAAUUGACUAUGUGAUUUACUUAUUUGUGAAAUUAGGAUAGGAUGAGAGAUUGAGUUGAAAUUGUUAAAAUUAAGGUAUAAUUAUCUUUAUUUAACUUGAUAUUAUGAGUAUUUAGUGUAAUCUGAGAAUUGGUAUAAUGAUUGGUUUCUAGGUUUUGAGGAACUAAAAUUGACAAAAGUACGUAUAUUAUUUUAUCUCUUGAAUCAUUGUAGUAAGUUAUGUGUAAAAUUGCUUGAGGACAAGCAACGAUUCAAGUGUGGGGGAAUUUGAAAGAGAAUAUUUAACGUACAUUUUGUACAAGUUUGGCAUGAACUUUUGGUAUGUUUUGAGAAGAUUAAAACCAUAUUUGCACUCUUUUGGUGAUAAAUAUUUAAAUAUUGUUUAAGUGUUCAAAACUUGAUAAAUGAGUGGAUUAAUACGUUAAUUUUGUGAAAUUGUGAAGGAUAUUGAUAUAUGAAAUUCAUGCACGAGAUGAAGGAAAUGUAAGGAUCGUCCAGAGGAUAAAGUACAAAAGAAACUAGGAGCAAAAGUGAAGAAAAAGGAAAGAAGUGAAAAACUGGAAAUUGAUUAGCACGGAUCCGAGUUUGGAUCCGUGUGAACAAAGGGCGAUUCGAGCCCUCGUCUGUACUUCUGGAGCAGUGCAUCCAAGGCCAGACGAUCCAAGCUCGGAUCAUUAAGAGAAAGGCCUCGGAUCAGUCUUGAUCCGAGCUCGGAUCGUAGUGCACACCUCGGAUCCAAGGCUCGGAUCUACCUCUCUCUUCUGCAAGUGGCACAGCCAUUUUUUCUCAUUUUUCACACAACUUUUCAGCUAUCUUGGGUGAGAGAAUUCGGUGGCACAUGUUUCUGCAACAAAAAGGAAGACAAAAUGAGUUAUUGACAAGUCAAAACAACAUUUCUUUUGACUUUCUUUACAAAAUCUGAGUUGUUGGAAUCAUGAAGGAGAAGAAAGUGCCUUUCUACCACCUUUUAUGCAGAGAACCAAGAAGUCAGGCAUCACCAUAUGGAAGGAGUUUUUCAUCUUGUAACAUUUUUCUCUCUAGCUAGAAGUUCUAAAAACAAGCACUUGGAGAUUUCACUUGUAAUUAUCUUGUACAAGACAUAGCAGAAAUUUGAGGGUUUCAUCAUUAAUUGGCUACGCUUUUCUUUAUCUUUCUUGUACUUGUACUUUAUGAUGUUUUGCAUUAAUAAACUUGUGAGUUUGAUUGUUAUAUCAUUCAUGAGUAGCUAAAUUUCUUUAUCUAGAGAGUAGAUGAAACUUAUGGCUAAAUGAUAUGAAUUGAAUGUGAUUUAAACUUGUUAUAUCUUGUAUUAACUUGUCUAUUUGUGCAGUUGUAAUUACUUGUUGUUGUUUGAUCACCAAUAGCAUGUUUAUAGUUGUUAUUAAUCAAUGAGAAUUGGUAGUAACAAUGGAAAAAACAUGAGUAGAGCUUGAGUUGUAUGUUCAUGAAAAUAGAUGUACACUUAAGUGGAUUAGCUAGCAUUUCAUGAAGGAAAACAGAGUAGAACUAGUAUUUCACCAUGAAAAUAGGGAAAACUGGAUUGCUCUAGGCCAUUUUAUCAUGAGAAUGAGAUUUGGUAAUAUUGGAAAUGAAUCCCUGGUUAAACAACAAUAAUAACAAGAGAAAUUUAUUCAUUUGUGUUGUUUAUGCCAUAAGUGGAAUCUACAUCCCUAAAUUUAUUCUUGAGUGAAAUUUAUCCAUUUGCAUUUAGCAUUUGUUAAACUAGAUUUAUAGACAAUAGCAUUAUAAUUUCUCUACUCAAAUUCAUUUAUAAGUCUAAAUAAUAGAGAAAAUAAGGGUUUAGUACUUGUUUAAAUUGCUCCUCGUGGGAUCGACUCGAUAUAUACCUUACAUUAUGAUUUCGGCCUGUAUACUUGCAGGCAACGGGUAUAAAAUCGGAUUUAAACUUACAUUGAUAUAAAAAUCCCGUCACAUAUGUGAGAUCAAAUUAUUUUACUUAUUUCUUUUAUUCAUUGGUAUUUGUACAUUUUCUGAUUUAACUUCAUAUACUUGUUAUGUUAUUUGAAUGUCAAGGGCCCGAUAUUCGAAUUAACCUAAUAAUCUACUGUUAGAUUAAUUGAUUGAAUCCCUAAUUGUUCAAUUGAUUAAUACCAGUGGCAACUAGCGUGAUUGGUUUCAUGUUAGGGAAACGUAUGAUCUAACUUAAACGAACCCUCGUAGCGUGUUUGUUAAUUAAGGUUGGCUUUUCUAAUUCUUAUUGCAAUUGAGAAAUUAAAUCCUAUAGUCGUACCUAGGGUUAUUUUUUGGUUAGGAAAAUAGUUAAUGGUCGUACCUUGACUAUCGAAAAAGUAAGAAAAAGUUGGUUGUUUAUCGCGUGUAUAACAACUAUAACCAAUCUAUUAAUUAGUAAUUGAAUUAUCUUUGCAUCGAUGAUCAGUUGAAAGGACCAUGUCUGAAAAGUUGCACCUUUGGCUAGAGUUGUAUUGGUUAUUGAUUAAUUCCUGUUGAUUUCUAUUAGUUGUUUCAUUAGUUGAUUAAUUAGUUAUUUUAUAUUUUUCAAAAACCCCCCAUACUUCGGACUCUGGAAGAAAUGAAUUAUCCCCAGUCCCUGUGGAUUCGACCCUACUCACCGCUAUAUACAAAUUUGUAUUUUUCUUGAGUAGGUAAUUAUUAUUGCACAUGUUCAACACCUGUCAUUCUAUAACUGUAUACAGAGUCAUCUUUUUCAAAGAUUUCCCAUGCUGCAAAAUGUACUCUACGAGCUUUAUUUCAUCUUCCUCCCCUAUAAAUUGUCUGAUUCCAAUAUGCCUAAGAUGUUCAACAAAGCGUAAUGGGAAAACUAUUUGGAAAUGUAGAUUCCAGGUCCUUGUAUAUGCAAAGUCCUUCUUACACAACUUUACAUAUUGAGAAGAUCAAAAAUUGCAAAACAUAAUAAUACUUGAAAUUAGUGAGAAUAUAUCCAAAAGAAACAAAAUAUUAAUACCUGAAAUCAGGUUUUACAAUCUGUGCACAAAAAGCACCUAAACCCAAAUGGCCCAUGUUGGAAUAGACCAAGUUUAGUUCAACUGCAGAAAUUCCUAGUACAAUGGAACUGCAACUUCAACUUCAGUAAAUUGCAAGCUGAUAUUAUGAUUCUAUAAAUCCUAAAAUCUCCCCCAAGUCCUCUUGCCUCCAGCACAAAGUAUGUACAUAGAUGCUGACCUGUUCUAUACACUUGUAGGUAAAUUCAAAUCAGACGGCAUUCAAUAGAACUGCCUUGAUUUGGCUGCAUAUUAGCACUACUGCUCUUUAAAUCUAACUUGAUUAAGCUGCACAAAAAGGGAAGAUUACAUUCGAUGGAGAAAUUUUACUGAUUGCAGAUGAAAUAGGGGCUAAAAUCAACUAGGAAAAGCAGAGAAGUUAACCUCAACCGACGAGGAAACAAGAUGCAAAAGUCAGAAGUUGUUAGCUUAAACCUCAACCGAAAGAAAAAUGCAAUCUUUGAUAUUAAACACAUAACCCACAUAAGUUAGCUUCACAGAGUCCAGAAGGAUGGUUGGAACUCAAUUUUCCUAAAAUUGUGAGGAAAAUAAUGCAAUCUUAGAAAUCUAACACAAAUAAUGGUAAUAAAAACACACAAGAAGGGUAUGAAAACUUACAAAAUGGCGCCAAAAUAUAGAUCUAACAAUAUUUGAAGCAAAUGGAUGAAGCAUUGAAGUUGUUCUAAGAUUUUUGGGCAGCAAUAAAACCUAAGCUCCUUCACGUUUAGCAAUUCUUAGGAGAUAGACAGGAGGCGGGUCUUCUUUUUUAGCAAUUCCUCAGAGGUCUCCUUCCCGUUUAGCAAUUCCCGCAUAUGUUCUUCUAUUUUUGGACUAAAAACCACCGAUGUUGGCCUUUGAGAGAAGAACAGAUGCGUGCUUCUCAAUUGACAGAGACAAGAGAGGACCAACCUUUCUAUGUAUAUAUCCCUCAGCCUCUAACAAGCCUUUGAAUUUUGAUGGAAGGACGUUGCGGGAAAAAUAAAAUUCUUGGAGGGAAUAAAACGCGCGUCCUAAAUUCUGAUUUAAGUUUUGUUGUUAAAAGUUUCUAAGAAUUGAAGUAUAUUAUAAUAUAUAUAGAAUAAAUAUUGAGUAUUAGAAGUAUAUAAUUUGAAAGAAAUCAUGUGAGGACUCGAAAAUUUUUAUUAUUUUAAAAUCCCUAAUUUUGGCUCAAUUAAUUAAUUAUUUGGAUUUUUAUCACGAAUAAUAUUUUCUAGCCUUAUUAGACCGAAGUACAUGGUUUUAUAGAUUCGUUAUAUUUUUAAAGCACCUCAUUUCAAAAAAUUAUUAUUUUUUUUAAAAAGCUUGUUUAGCGGAAAAGUGAAAACGUGUCUAAACACUUUAGCCAAUUGGGAGUACAAUAAGCUCAAAAUUUGAGACCUAUACAAUGGUCCUAAAAUAGACAAUUUUAGGUUUAAUUAUACAAGUGAUAGCUAGUGGUACAAUCGUUAUAAGAAUUUUUCAAAGGUUUCAAUUUUUAUUGCGCCUAAAUUAGAAAUACGUGUUUGCACGUGCGCGCUUAAUUGAGGGACUUUGGACCAUUAUUUUGGGACAAUUAAGAAUGGAUAAUAUUUAUAUAAAUGUAAGUACCCUAGAGGUUUAGUGCACUAGUGCAACAAACGUAAGAGAAAUCGAACACAAAACGCGCGCGUAGGGUACUAGUUAUAAUUGAUUUGACGUAUUAAAAGAUUUGACGUCAAGCGUCUUUCGUACGCAAAGGCUUCAGAACCGCAGCUUCAUUUCAAUCUCAUUUCAUUUCUGCAAAGCUUCAUGGACGGCUAGACAGCAAGAGACAACCGAGGCUUCACCAUUUCUUUCUUCCAAAACUCAUCCAAAUCCUUACCAAAACUUCCAUAGAUUCUUACCAAUCUCCACAUUCAUUUAGCUUUUCACUUGGACGGCAACUUAGCUGCAAAAGGAAGGAGCUAUCCACGGUUUCUUCAAGCUUCAAAGGGGCCGAAAAAUCUGUCCAAACCAGUCAUCAAAGUAGGUACUAAUCAAGCACCUUGAACUUGUCUUAUGGAAGUUGAUCUAUGCAUUUGAGUUGGAAUCUUCACUAUAGUAGCUUGUAUUGUUGGAAACGUGGGCUCUAUGAACUCCCACUUUGGGUUGAUGGCUGUGAUGAUGUUUGAUGAUGGUUUUAUUGCUGAAUUAGAGCUUAAGGAAGUAGAUUAAAGGUGUAUUGUGGACAGAAACGUUGUUGAACUCUUGAAGUAAAAAGUUCCCAUUUUACCCCUGUUCUGUUCGGUCAUUUUAAUGCAGAAACUGAGGAUUUAAUGGCCUGAUUAUGUUGAUUACAUGUUGCAAAAGUUGUGUACAAAAUUUCGUUGGAAAAUAUUGAGUUGUGGUUGAUCAAACGAAUUUAUUUCAAAAACUAGUAAUCUGGAAAACGGUUUCGCCGUAAUCCAGACCAGUGUUUGUAUUUCGUCCAUAACUCCGUACUCCGACUUCGAAAUCAAGUGCCGUUAGCGGCAUUUGAAACUAGACGUUCCCAUGUUUCCAACGGUGUAUAAUGGACCUUCUGGUUUCGUGUGUGUGAGCCACACCAUUCAUCUGAAGUCGACUGUCCUGUUUCUCCGUUCUGCCGAAAUGAUUUGAUGAUGCUGCAACUUUAGGCUUGAUUUUGAACCAGUUGCAUGCUGAAACUUAAAACGAUUUCUUCUGUGAAGUUGUAGCCCUAUGAAUCUAUUUUCUAACACUAUCAACCAUUUCCAAUUCCGAGUUAAAUUGAGGGAGUUAUGAUCAAUACACGGCAACUGCCUCGUUUUUGAAAACCUUAGUUUUGGACCGGCUCAAUCCUGGUAAUCUAGAACAGCAACUUUAGGCUCAUUUUUGAAUACCAUCCACUUAGAUUCAUGGAAUGAUGUCUUCUAAGGACUUUUAGUACUUUUGAAGACGAUUCCAACGGUACCAAAUUCAUCAAGUUUCGAUUAGUAGAAAGAAAGUUAUGAUUUUUCAAAGAUUUGACCAAAAAUCAAAAAUUCUGGAAUUCCAGAGGAAAUCCGCGAAGGAACAAUUUUACCAGAAUCCGGCCUUGAAUCCGGCCAGUUUCUGGACGGAUUGUCGGCCGGAUUGGUGGUCAAAUUUGAAAAAAAGGGAGGUUACCCACGGCCAGAAAUCCGGCCGGAUAUCCGGCCGGAUUGUGACGUGGCCAACCCUCCUUCGAUUUCGAUCGUUCGUUUUGCAAUCCUUUCGCUCGUACUCAAUUCCAACCAAUGAUUUUAAGGAUAAUAAUCCGAUUUUCACUUAAGUCCUACACCCUUUUGAGAAUCCAACUUAAUAAACAAGUCAAACGAAGUUUUCAAAUAUUUCCGAACCUUACCCGUGCCCAAUCUUUCUCACCACUUGGGGACCUAUAAUAAUUGUCUACUAUUCGAUGUUCAGGCACGCACGAGGACCUCCAAGAGGAUCCUACCGUGGAAGUUUGAACUCUCCCUCCAACCUACUUACUUGCAUAACUGGUGAGUGUCAAGUGUAUGCCUACUUGAACUCUAAAGUCUUGAUUCAUGAUUGACUUACCUGAUUAUAUGCUCGGUCUAUUGGAUUUUGAAAAAUGGAGUCGAGUGUGUACUUAAUCGCACUCGUUCUCAUUUGGAACAAAUGACUCAUGUUUGACAUGCUUUGCAUGGUUUAUAUGACCUGAAAUACAUGUUUGAACCUGUCAAAUGCUUGAAUUUAUGAAAUGGUAUGCUAUGAUUGCAUACGUCGAUGGAGUGAAUCUCCUCGACAUUUACAUGAUACACGGGGGACGCCCAAACUCAUAGGCCGACCUUGGAACUCGAGCCGGCAUGGGCCUGGUCGGGAACCUUGGUGAGCCAUGAGAAUUACAUGAUAAGCUUGAUCUAUUUGAGAGAUCUCGCUUGGCAUACUCGUGAAGUAUCGCCUUAUAAGUGUCGUGCGGGCCCGAAGUGGUGUAUGGUGGACGGAUGAGAAGUAAGUGGUGAACUACGGAUAUGAAAAUAUCAACCUGGUUGACGGAGAGUCAUCACGGGGAGAUAUACAAAUGACAUCGGCAAAUGUGGAACUUAACUCCUGAGAGCUUCCAUAUCCUUGAAUUGUUUCUGGUUACAUUUUGUCGGCGUUAUUACUUACUUGCAAGUGAUUACCUGAAUUGUUAUUUGGGGCUUGUUAUUUGAAUUAUGUGUCUGCAUGUGUGUUCUUGGCCUCACGAGCGUUUUUGCUCACCCUGUAGAUUUGUUUUCCUUAACAGGUUUGAACUCGGAGGUAAAAUGGAGAAGCCCUCUGAUGUACUUUUGUUUAGGGCUUGUUAUUACUUUUGGUUAUGCCUUUGGUUUUGAAAUUUUACUUUUGGUAUGGAAAUGUAACCCUUGGACGAAAUGAAAUCUGUAUUCUGACGUGUGGUUUGGUGAAUGGAUGACUAUUAUUAGGUUUGAAUACUUCCGCAUUUAUUGUAUUUAAGUUAUUGGCUUUUGUUGUGUGGUCCGGCUAUAACUUGAAUGGAAUUGCUUGAGUCCUGGCGAGAGUUAGGCAGGCGUUCCGCGGAUACCCUUUGGUUCGCCUUAGGGAGAAGUGGGGGCGUCACAAAUCAUGUAUGAGAAAAUGAAACUAAUGAAAAUAUUCAUGUGCAAUCAAUAUAAUAAAUUGUCAUCUUUAUAAUUUUUAAGUUUGCAAUUCAUAAAUAUGGUAACAAAUAAUGUAAUUCAUGUGCAAUCAAUAUAAUUAUAUUGUUAAUUAAGGUUAUAAUUGUGCUAUAUAAAGUAUUUGGGACAAUUUGAAAAAUAUCGAGAAAUUUGGGACUACUUAUAAUAUAUUCAAAAUGUAUUUUGAUUAAACUAUACAACUUGUCCUUUCUUGUUGUAAAUCCAAGUUCAAUUAUGGAACAAUAUACAUGGAAAAGUUGACCUUAUAUGUGUAUAAAUCAUCUUAUUAAUAAAAUAAUUAAACACAAUACAUUUAGUUAACUAUGAUUUAGUGAUUGAUUAUUACAUCAUUUUUUAUAUAAUACGAUAAUUAAAUAUUACAUAUAUAAUAAAAUGUUUCAAAUAUAUUUUAAUUGAUCAAAAAAAUGGUAUACUUACAAUAAACAAAUAAUUAAAGAAAAUUUUGAGAGUAGAAUUUUGUGCUAAAAACGUGUAUUUUGGGUUCAAAUUUAUAACCCACCACUUAUCCACUUAGAAUUAGCAAAAGUAUUAAUUCAUUUCUAAAUACUCUAAACCAUACUAAUUUAUUAUAAUAAAGACACAAAACACUAGCUCCAUGUGAUAACCUAUAGCAAAAAUCAUCUAUUCACUUUAGUAAAAUAUAUGAGUCAAAUUUAAAGAUUCAUCAAAUUUUCUAGGUUUUAAAAUUGGGGUGCGUUAUUUACAUGGAUUUAAAGCUGUCUGAAUAUAGUUUACUACGCAAUAAACGGCACUCAAUUUCGAGUUUUCUACACAAAGAUAUGGCCAAAAUACUAAAAUUAUUACUUAAUUUUUUGAAAAAUAGUAGGAUCGUAGGAUCAUAUGAUCCGGAUCACGAUCAUAUUGAUCUUGUUAAUUUAAUGCUAAUUUUUUAUCCUACUUACAAUUUGGAUCGUUAACCAUGAUCCGUAUCGUAGGAUCGUAGAUCGCGAUUCUAGCAACUAUGGUUGUAGCUAAAAGUUUCUAAGAAUUGGAGUAUAUUAUAUAAUAUAUAGAAUGAAUAUUGAGUAUUAGAAGUAUAUAAUUUGAAAGAAAUCAUGUAUGUGAAAAAUGCAACUAAUGAAAAUAUUCUCAAUAUACAGCUGAAAAAAUAACUAAGUUUGAUAAAUUUGCAUUUAAUUUUUAGAUAGAAGUUUGUUGUAUGAUAUGUAAUUGCCAUUUCUUGAAAUUAUUCUUCACUCUUAUACCUUCACUAAACUUCAAAGAACUUAGCUACACAUAAAAUAGAAUGAAAGGAAUGCUUUCAAGUGUGCUAGUAAGUAAAUAUUUAUACUAUAUCUGUGCUAAUACGUGUCCAUAUGUAUAAUUCAAAAGUUUUAUGUAUUUCAUAUACGAAUAUCUUUUUUCAAGUAACUGCAUAGAACACUUGAUAGGUUGUAUUUUUGCCAUUAAUUUUAUGAUUAUUUCCCUCUUUAUUUUACCAAAUAUUGUAUUAAUUGAUAGAUUCUACUUAUAUUUGGUGCUUUAUGUUAAUUAUAGGACGUUGGGGUAAAAAGUGCUAAAAAAGGGUGAUUUUCUUGGAAUUGAUUGUCACUCGCAAGUUUCCCAAUUCAAGAUGAAGUCUACGUGGAUUAUUUGUGGAAGAUUAGGAAAUUACCAUUUUUCUUAGAUAUUUUAUUUAGAAAACAAUUGGCAUUAUUCUUGGAGUUACCUUUUUCAAUUGACCCGCUUCCGAAGUUACUUCCUUCGUUAGAGCUCGUUUAUCGUUGAUUUAAAUUUAAUCUGUUUUAGUUUAAUUAUUUUCAAUUUGCAUUGAUUAUUUAUUUUUAAUUGCAAUUUUCCAAACUCCCCCCCCAAUUAAUUGUCACUUGGAAAGAAGCAAAUUUUCACUCAAAACCUUGAGUUUAUAUCUUUUUGAGUAGGAAUUUAUUAUUACACAAGUCUGACACCUGUCAAUUAACACAAGGUUUCAAGCAAUGCACAGUUUCUUUUGUACCUAGAAUAGCUAAUGUAGCAAGUCAUAUGCUAGCACAUUUUGCAACAUAACUAGUUUAUGAUAUAGAAUGGGUACAUGAUUUCCCGAUUUGACUAAUAGAAGGGUGAAUGCCCCUUUUUGUAAUUAACUCUUGCACUUCAAGUGUUAACAUAUAUACUGAUUGUUGAAAAAAAAAGGAAAGUGUUUAUUUGUUUAAUCAAAUAGUUAUGGUAGUGUUUAUAUAAUUUCGUAAACAUUGAAAGGUAAAUGACCUCGUUGAAUUUGUAUAAUUUGAUUAUGUUGAAGAAACAUAUAAUCUUGGAAAAGCAGAGAAAUUUUCUAGUAAAUAUUAGAUAAACAAACAAGUCAUUAUUUUAUUUUGAUAGCUAAUCAUUGUUCAUAUCAAUAUACUAGCUAUAAAGUUAUACUCGCAAUACUACUAUUACGGUAUAAAAUUUCUUGUCAGAGCAAUUUAUAAUUUCAUCCCAUUUUUACCGUUGACUGUUAACCUCAAGUUCUUCGGAUAUCCAUGGGACAGUGUAACCCCUUUGAAGGUCAAUUCUUAUUGUUGAUGUGGCGUGUCCCACAUCGGAGGCUGCAUAAGGAAGUUUUCUUCCUUUUGUCCCACAUCGGCAAUCAAGAAGGAAAGCCUCCCCUUGUUUACCUAUAAAUAAGGGGGCUUAGUGGUGAAGAAAAGUGCACCACUCAAGAGAGUUAUAUGAGCUAUUAGCUUUUUGAGUCAUUUAUCCCAUUUGUAGUCAAAUGUUUUAUGUUCUCUUGUUUUGAGUUUAGGAAUAUUUUCUAAACUUUUUAUGAGUGCCUUUUGGCCUAGGAACCACUUUUCUACGGCUUUUGUAUAUCUUCUUCAUAGUGAAAGAUUUGCUCCUCCUCUGUCCAUGGACGUAGGUUAAUUUGACCGAAUCACGUAAAUUUCUGUGUCUUUUAUUUUGUUUUGUUAUUUGUAUUUAUUGGGUUGCCACAACCCUUUUAUAUGGUCAGUCUUACAGCCUAAAGUAUUAUAUGGUCGAUUUUAACUCCUAAACAUUAUAUGGUCGGUUAUACCGCCUACUUUGUGCUAACUUCAGUUUGUUUAUUUCUGGACCAGUUCUAACACUUACACCCUCAUCAAAGUUUCUGGAGUUGCGUAUUAUAGGGGUGCAAACACAAAAACGAGACAUUCUUAAUCAGAUGGAGUUCCUUCUUUUUGCGAUUCAUUCCUCUGCAAACCUCCUCCUCCUCCGAUUUUAAUAUAUGCCACUGUUAAAAUAGGAUACUUUUGUGGGUUUAAGAUUAGAUCGAGACGAACUCUUUUGUGCAAAACAUUUGCCCCAGGCAUCGUUACUACAGAGUAUGUGAUCCAAUUACCAAUGUAAGGUCACAAUGUUAGAGAUGUGAAAUUAUAUUGCAAUGGUCCCUAAAAUCCAACUUGAUCGAUAGGAAUACUAAUUAGGUGAAUACGAGGACUGUGAUUCGACUCUCGAUCUUUCCUCUCAAAUUACAGUAAUAUUUUUAAUCAUACACUCAUCCCCUUACUAACUUCCUAUGGGCCCAAUAUGUUGAGUAGAAUUCGAUUGGAACAACCGAAAAGAAAAGAAAAGAAAACAAAUACAAAACAAUGAAAUAGAGACUUAGUUAGUCAAGUUGGAAGCUAUGAGGAAGUGAGGAGCACAAGUGCGAACAGAUCACCAAGGAAAAAGAAACAAGUUUUUCGAGAAUGCAAUUUGAUUUCAAGCUCAAUCAUAUUCUAAGAGUCAAUGAUAAGAUAGAAAAAAUGUAGGUCCAUUGUUAAGAUAUAGACGGAGAUGGUUGCUUAUUGAGCGUUGGAAGUAUUUCAUAUGCAAGUUGUAAUUAUAUCUCAACUUGUAUAAUUUUAAUUUAAUAAGGUUAAAUUAAUGACCAUGUCAAUGAUUUAUGCGUCAUGCAUGACAUUCUUUUUUCUUGUACUCUCCCAAAAGCUGAAAAUUCUCGUCUCAAUCUCCUCCUCCACCGAUGGCUGCAUGUCUGUACAUGUUUCCCCACAACAAGAAUAAUGAAUCAAUUGCCAUAAUUGCACGCAUUUAAAUUUUCUGAGCUGGUGAUAAAUUGCAUAGUUUUGAUUUUUUUCUAUUUCCGGUUCCCACUCUAGCUACUUCUAGAUUUAUUAAUUGGAAAAAAAAAGAAGAAGGAAUAAAUUAAACCUUAUUUAAUUACUUUUUUAGUCAGGAUAUCUAUAGUAGAUGUAAUUAUCUCUAUAGAAAUGAAUGAAGCAUCCUAGCUUGUGAUCAUUAUCCUCUGUUGCAAUUCUCUUGUUCAAACUUCAAGUUAAGGUUUGUUUGCUAAUUUAAUGGAUUCAGAACUUAAAUUUAAUGGAUUCAAAUCUUAAUAUAUUCAAAUGCUUUUGAUAACCAAAACUUCAAUAUCUGAAUUAAUUAAGUGACACUAAAUUUUCUAGACAAAACUUACUCCUAAAAAUAAGUGAUAAACUAUUUACUUAUCACUUAAUGUGAUAUAUACUCAAAUGUAUCAGAUUUAGUACAUAACAAUUUAAUAACUUAAAGAAUUCAGACUUCAGAUUUCAGUUUUAUCAAACGCAUCUUAACUCAGUGCAAACUGAAUAUGAAAUCCAAAGUGGAAAAUCCAAGAGGUUAGAACUUUGAAACCAUAGGGCCUCUAGGCAAAUUCAGCAUUUUUACAUUCUACUGAUUUAGGGCAUCUUCAAUUAUCAGUUUCAACUCCAUGGUAUAAUAUAGAUAUUACCUCUAAUAGUUGUACACACUUACGCAACAAAUAUAGAUUGUGAAAUUAAUUGUAUAAGUUUGAUAUUUUGUAGGUUUUGGGAUAUAAUUUUCACGUUUAGGAAAAAGAAAAUAUGUUAGUAAGUAAUAAUGUGAUACCCCUUGUCCCACGUUGGAAGUGGGAGAGGAAAAGGAUUGAUAUAUAUACAAGAUUUGGUCGCAUAAGUUACUAGUUACUUGGGCUAACCAUGUCGGAAAGUGUAUUUCGACACAAAAAUUACUUAGGCCAACCAUGGGCUUGGAUGGUGAUAAAUAACUUACUAGAAGCCAGGCAUAUUUAUGUUUAGAUGUCCUAAAAGCAGAGUAGUUCAUAAUCUAGAUAAUGGUAACGAUAUGAUGAGAAUGUGAAGUUAUUUGGUAAACUUUAUAGAUUAAUAAUUUCAUCAAAGCAUCAUAUACAAGCAUGAUGACACAAUCUCAACUUUCAUUCUUUUGUUAAAUCUUAGUUUUUUUCUCUUAAAUUUUUUCGAAUAAAGGAAGGAUGGAAUUUAAGCAGUAGAGGGUGGAAGGGGAUUUUGAAUUCAAAAUCUCUAAUUUCUAAGUUUUUCCCUAAGCAAUCGUCAAAAUAAAAAAAAAAUUUAAAAGAAAAAAAAAUGAGCACCUCAUGGUCAAUGCUCCUGUUCGAAGAUUUAUUCCUUUGGUUUGUCAUCAUCUCCCUCUAUGAAAUCUAAGUACCCUUGGUUGACAAUUUGUUUCCCUGAGCAUCCAUCAACACUUUUAUAUAGUAUUUUUUUUAAUAUAGUAUUAGAUUAGAUUAGAUUAGAUUAUCAAUGCACCAUCAAUAUAGUAUUAGAUUAUCAAUGCACCAUCAAAACACUUUUAUAUAGUAUUAGAUUAGAUUAGAUUAUCAAUGCACCAUCAAUAUCCUUAAAUAUAAAAGCUUAAGUAUAGUAAUCAAAAUACUGUUAGUAAUCUGUACGAUUAUUUUUUAUCCUUUAAUGUUUUAGUUUUAGGAAGAUCACAAAUGCUGCGUAUAAAGCAUGCCAUAGGCUAAAUUAAGCUAAAUUAAGUACACUGCUAAAAUGGAGAGCAUUGCUAAAUUAAGUACCUUAAGAUAAAGACAUAAGCAGCCAGAUCCAUUUGAUGUCAGCUGCUUCAAUAUCCACCUCAAAAUAAAUUAGCCUUUGUUCUAGAUUUAGCUUAAUGCUAAGUCCCUUCACCAUUCUUAGUAAUAAUUCAAUUCUGCCUCAAUUUUCUUCUGAUCUUCAAGGUAAAUGUACGAUAAAUUUCAAAAUAUAUCCCAAAUAUAUGAAUUUCUUGAAACCAUCCUUGAAUCUCAUUACCUACUCAACAAAAUGUUCCAUAAACAUAAAGAAUUGACGAGAACAACAGGGCUCCUUAGAUUUAACAAUUUCAAAUAAGCCCAAGCUAGAAUUUUUCAUAUAUUCAAACAAGAAAUUGGAAAAAUCUGACUAGCUUGCAACGAGUACUACAUCUCAAGACAAAGGAUCUUUUCAGUCACUCUUUUAUUGUAUCGAAAACCUACUUGCAUCUAUGAAUAAGCAAUACUGUGUGAUUUUAGAUGUGAAGCUAAUUCCAUGUGGUAGGACAACUUUGGUUUAAAAAAUAAGGGCAGUCCAAUUCACUCAAUACAAAAAAUAUUUUUAAAUGAUGAUAUUCACAGGAACGUCUAUCUUACUUAAACAAACAAACAAAAAAAAAACAAUAAAAAGGAGAUUGAUUUAGAAAUGUCCGGAGACUUGAGACAUGGACGCUUCAUUAGUCAAUAAUAAUAAAGUCCGGAGACUUGAGACAGGGACGCUUCAUUGAGACUGUUGUGACCAAUUCAGCCCAUAUAGGUAAAAGAAAUGGAAUAAAUCGACAAGAAAUGGUGUCAUCACAUUUUAUUCCACAUUUACCCUUAUAGACCCUAAAAGAAAUAUUGUAACAUAGGACAAACUUUGUCGCUCCGAAGUUGAAUCACUUUUCUAUUCUAUAUACUAAACUUCAAUUUUGGACACUUUGCAUCUGGUUGGAGGCAAAAGCACAGGAAAGCCCUUUUUGAAUGGAAAUAGCAUAAAAGUCUUAGUGAAUGAACAAAUUGAAUAGACCAUUUUGCAGAGCUGUGAGAUAUUCCAAAGCCGUGAAGCACAGUGAUAAGCUACAAAUUAUAGUGGUUUAUAUUUAUUAAUUGUCAAUGAAUGGUUGUAUUUGAGCUAUAAUUUGAAUGGAUGUUGCCUAAUUUAAGUAUAUGUUGGUUUUUGUGGGAAAAGCACGCGAUUGAGGAGGAAAUGAAUCGAAAACGCAACAAAAGGGGAAGAAACGUUGGGUUGCCAAGACACAAGGAUCCGCGGGUGGAUCCUGUGUCCGACGCCAAACAUUGAAAGGGACUUUGCGAGGACUUCUUCUAGUUCUAAUGAUUGGAAAACCCACUAAAACUCGAUUUUUGGCAAGUUUCAAGACCCAUUCUUACCAUAUUUCGGAUACAACUUUCAAGACCCAUUCUUAGUUCAUCAUUUUUAUAUCUUCUUUUCUUGAGAGAUCACAAUGGAAUUGUUGAAGAAUCAAAGGAAGUUCAAGAUGGAGAUUGGAGCGGGGAAAAAUUAAGAAGUUUUCUUUACUUUUAACUUCUUAUUUUGUCUUUCAUUUGAAUUCUUGGAUUUAUCUAUGAAUAUGUUGAACUCAUUUAUAUCUAAAGUUAGGAUUUUGUGAAGGAGAUUUAAUUAUUUGUUCUAGAUAAAUUAUUCGCUUUUGCUUAGAUUUAUUUAUCUUGCCUUUAUUACAUGUUUAUGUUUUGCCACUAUAGAUAUGCUUUUAGGAUUUGUAUUGAGUUGAGAAGCGAUAUACAACCGUACAUUAGAUAGAUAAACAUACUUAGUAUAAUCAUGAAAGUAGGUUAAACAUUGUAUGGCAUAAUUAUAUCACCUAAGAUUUUAAAAGAUUUAAUUAAAUACUUAUAAUCUGAAGAGCAUCGUGAGAUUUAUUAGACAAAUUUAGAAGUAUCAAGAGAUAAUCUAAAGUACUUUUACGUGAUACGUCUUUGACUUGUCAAGAAAAUAAUUGGAUAUAUAAUUCCAAUUCUGAAUCAAAAUUUGAAACUCUGUUUUUUGCUAAUUGUUUUCUCACCCAUAUCUUGUUUGAUUUGAUUAUUUAUUUAAUUUCUUAAUUAGUGAUUAAAAACCCUCUGAAUUUAAAUUUUGUUAUUUUUAUUAGAGGAAUUAAAGUAUGAAAAAUUAACUCACUGCUGCAGGUUCGACCCUACAGUACUUCAAGGGAAUUAUUAUUACGAUCGACCCUGUACAGUUAUAGAAAUUCAUCGAUCACACAGCAACUAAAAAAAAUUAAUGCACAAUAAUGUCAUGAGCAGAAACAGUUCGCAUCUUAGCUGUUCAUCAUUCACGUAGAUUUCAAUUAGUGGUCAACAAAUAAAGGCAUCGAAAAAAGUAAUCCAACUAGAUAAGUGAAUUUAUACUACAACAUAUUUCUUUUUUCUACCGCAAAAACUUAACUAAUUUACGACAAUGUAGUCCAAGCUAAUUGAAGAUUAAUUUUCCCUAAAAAAUGUUCAUGAUAAAAACUCGACAAAGAGAUAAUACAACAGCUUACUUUUGGAGAUGAUCUUAUACGGUAUUUAUUAACAAACCAAUGAGGAGCGACAAAAUGUACAUAGGUUCCCUCCAUAUAUUAGCCACUUAAGCCUUUUUUUUUCCUUUUGGGACUACACAUGACAAAAUGAGGAGUGAAUAAGUCACUUAGCAUCAAAAAUUUUCCCUCCAUAUAAUUAGUUCAACCUGAUUUAAGACUAAAUUUUUACUAUAGGAAUGUUAGUGAUUCAACAAUGAAACACCAUAGAAACUUAUUUUGGGAGAUUGUCCUAGAAGAUAAAAAAUGAGCAACCAAUCAGAAUCCAUUCAGUCUAAUUAAUUCACCAGCUAUGUAUAUUUCAUCCAUUUUCACAUUAUAGAAAGAACAAUAAUGCAUGGCUUUAUCCAUCAUAAAUUGCUCGUAUAACAUCAAGAUAUUCAUGGUGUGGACCGCAAAUGGCUCGUCAUGUCUACUGGCUACAUUUUAAACAUAUCUUAUGGCCAGAAUGAUCAUCUUAUCAACUUAACGAGUUUAUUCAUAGUACCAUACCAUUAAUUUAAAAAAGUUUCAACCUUUUACCUUCUAUAGAUGUCAAGGAAUAUAGCUAAUAACGCACUUUUGGCAGCAAUCUUCCUUCACCCAAUUAAAGAUUUUCGGAGCUUAAAGUUCAGCUCCUAAAGCUCUUCUCCAAGGCUCACCAACCAACAGAGAAAUUACUUUUAGCAAAGUUGUUAAAUUUUGGCAACAGGUUUUGAUGGCAUCUUGGUAAGAUUGGAAGAUUAUACUGCGCUUCUAAGAUAAUGUUUAAAAAAGCUAUUUUAGUGAGGGCAUUAUGGUCAAUUUGCCCCUGAUGAUAUUGACAUUAGGUCCCAUCAACAUCAGAAGGGAGCUCAUUGUAUUAUUGGAUAUAACAAGGGUGCUAGUGAAAUUAUGAAAACCCCAAGGGAGGUUUUUGAAAUUAACCCUAAAAUACUCAUUCCACGCGAGGCGUGGCGUUCCCCUCCUAGUUCCUAUAAAUAGGGCACCAACUCAAUGCACUUAUCACUCGAUAUCAAUAAUUUAGCACAUUAUUUACAUUUUGAGUGAGAUUGUGAUCAAAUGGCAUCUUCAAAAAAUUUGCUCUUUCUUAUUGGUGUUCUCUUUGCACUUGUGCUCCUCAUUUCCUCUGAUGCAGCAGCUGCAGGUGCCUAGUCCUUUUUUUUUUUUCCUUUCUUCCUUUUUUUUUUUGGCUGCACCUAAACACUUAAAUGAAUGGAGAUUUGGAGACUCAUUAUUGGGAUGUGAAUUUUUAUGGAAGUCUAUUUGCAUAUUAUCUAGCAAGUCAUAUUAAUGUGCUAAUAUCUUUUUCAUUGUUUAGCAAAAGUAAAUUUGGGUUGCUUCUAUCAAUGGUUAGUGGCACAUCUGAUUUUUCAUGCAUCCUUAUAGUAUUGCUGUAAGGAUACACGUUCCAUAGUGUCGCACCAAAGAUUAAACUAACGUUGAAAACCAAAUUAAAUGCUUCUAAUUAUAAUUUAAAGCAAAAUAAUUCAUAUCCAAGUCGCACCAUCUUAUAUGCCUGGACUGUUUUGUUUAAUCCAUAUUCUUUUCUUUGCAUAUAUCUUGCAAAUUUUCAGCCUAGCCGGUCACCUAACGUUCGCAGCUUAAGAUAAAGCUCCAAAUAUUUAUGUCUCCUUGUGUCUUGAAACAGAUCAGAAGAGCAAUAAAACCACUGGUGUCCACGAUGCCAGUUCAGGCGAGGUUCAUCAGGAUAGCAUAAGCGAAGAUCGUUGCACAUAUGGUUGCUGCCGCUGGUACAAUGGAUAUUGCCAAAGAUGCUGUCCACCUCGUGAGAAUUGCAGAUAUGGUUGCUGCAGCUGGUACAAUGGAUAUUGCCAAAGAUGCUGUCCACCUCCUGAGAAUUGCAGAUAUGGUUGCUGCCGCUGGUACAAUGGAUAUUGCCAAAGAUGCUGUCCACCUGCUGGGUAGACCCCUGAAGCUACAUCCGGAGAUGAGGUCAAAAAUUAAUGCUAAAUAAAUAAGGGUGUGACACAGGAUCCGUGACACCUAUAUUAUUACCUUAAUAUGUUAUGUUGUGUUUG